rnacentral:rRNA from 1 species
UACGGGGGGGAGCAAGCGUUGUUCGGAUUUACUGGGCGUAAAGGGCGCGUAGGCGGCCACUGCAAGUCGGUUGUGAAAUCUCCGGGCUUAACCCGGAAAGGUCAAUCGAUACUGCAGGGCUAGAGUGCAGAAGGGGCAACUGGAAUUCUCGGUGUAGCGGUGAAAUGCGUAGAUAUCGAGAGGAACACCUGCGGCGAAGGCGGGUUGCUGGGCUGACACGUGACGCUGAAGCGCGAAAGCUAGGGGAGCGAACGGG